AGGUAUAUUUUUUUAACAAAAAAGGAAAAAGCAUUUUUGAAGAAUUUUAUUUGUUUUAAAAGUCUUAUUAAUUUUUUUUAAGUUGGUAUUAGUUGCAAUCUAGAAUUAUGUCGUUACUUGGAAUAUUCAAUCUAAGGAUGUUUAUUCCAUCCUCCCCCACCCCCAACCCCCUCAAAAAAAAAAUUAAUAACUUGGAUGUAUUGUUCUAUUUAAUUUUUAAUUUAAAAUCGAGUAAACAAUAUAAAACAUAGAUGUUCUCAGGCUCUAAGCAGCCUCCUUCCGGUCAACAUGCCCUGUUGAAGCAUGCUGGGGCAUUUUUAUCAUUUCCUGGUAGCUAAGUUGUGUCCAGUUCUGUGUAGGACACAAUGAUUGUACGUCUAUGUAGAGAUUCCAUCGUCUCUCUUGCUUGUGCCAAUUUCAUCAAUUUUGCAAUUACAUAGUAAACAGAGACGUACAAUAGUUGUGUCUUACGCAAAAAUUGACACAACUUAUCUACCAGGAAAUGACAAAAAUGAUUAAGCUGUCCAGCUUCUGUUCUUGAGAGUUGGUACGUCAUUGUUGUCACAAUCUUUCAAUUUCAUCGUGAUGUCUGGAGAUAAUAAAAGGGCCUCUGCAACACAUUCAAUACAAAAUAGCAAACGUCCAUGUCUGUCUGCUACAAAUGCUGAAAUAUAAUUCAGGCAGCGUAAAAGAUAUAACGAAAUUUCUCCAACUAAAAAGGAGGAAUUAUUAUUGCAAAGGCACACCAGAGAACUCGAUUCAAGGAGGCGUCUUGCACAAAUUUGUGCACCGAAUUAUUCUGCGACAUCAACAUCUUCUGCAUCUAAUUCAACAUUUCAGCAAAACAGACCUCUUAUAAUAAGAAAUGUCUGCGUUACGGAAACACAAGGUUAGUAAAUUAAACUUCCGCUGGUUACACAUCAAAAUGUAUGGAAAUACACAUCUAUUUGAAUAUAUAUAUAUACCUUCUUUUACUCUUUUUGAAGAUGAUGACUUUAACACAUUCUCCAUUUAUUUAUUAGCUACUACAUCUGAAGUUAAUAUAUCACCUGACACUUCUCCUAAAGGGAAAAGUUUACUUCAGCCUUUCUGCUUCUUCGAGAAAGGCAAGUGUUCCAACCAUAUGGUUGGUCUUAUAUCAGUCUCUUCAUCACAUACACCUAAUGGCCAAUGUGAUCUUGGUUCGAAAAAUCUAAUAGACAGAGGUUUGUAUCUACGUUGAUAUACAACAGUAUUUAGUACUCUUACUUCAACUUUAAAUUUAUUUCUAACUUUUCCUGCACUAUCCAUGACAUAAGAUAACUAGAGGUCGUCACAUUAACAUCAGUCGAUUACAAACUGAAUAUGUAGAUUUGAAAGUUGUGCCAAAUUGUAAAUUAUGUGGUGCCAAAAGAUUUCAAUACGAAUCACCUGGAUUUUGCUGCGAUAAUGGUUCAAUUAAGCUUACAGCACAUAAAAUGCCUACUGAGCUACGAAAUUUAUUCAUACAUACUUCUGAAGAAUCAGAAUAUUUUCGAACAUACGUUAAGAAAUUCAAUAAUAUAUUUGCAUUCACUUCACUUGGAGUAACAUAUGUCAAAGCCUUGGCUCAAAGAUAUCAUGGAAUUUAUACCUUCAGAGUUCAAGGAAAAAUGUACCACUUCAUUGACAAUUUAUACCCAACAACUGGAAAAGGAAAAAAUCUACAACUAUAUUUUUAUGACAAUGAAAAUGAAUUGGAAAAUAGAAUUGGUUGUUCGACUGAAAUUUUAGAAAUAAUAGUAAGAAAAUUGAUGAGUAUCUUGCAAGUUAAUCCAUACUCUUUUUUCCUUAAAUCUCUAUUCGAUAUUCCAGAAUUAUCACGCUUUUAUAUUGCACUAAAAUGUGACUCUGGUUUAGAUCAACAUGUAUAUAACCUUCCUACUACAUCUGAGAUUUCAACAAUAUGGGUUGAUGGAGAUACGAAUUCUAUGUCCACACCUCAUAUUCGAAUUUAUACUCACAAUAAUCAAAGUUAGUUAGUUAACUACUACUAUGGAUGUUAUGAUCCCUUGCAAUACCCAUUGUUAUUUCUAUAUGGUCAAGAUGGUUGGCAUUGUGGUAUAAAAAAAUACUACUGCCAAAUAAUACUACCAAACAUAGUGCCCCUUGUGAACAGGAACAUUUAUCAGGUGUUAAAAAUAUGUGCUCAAUAGAUAACUUUCUUGAUAUGGAAGCUCAAAUGCUCGAACAACAAAAGAAGAAAAGGAACACUGUCUCUUGUCGUGAGUAUUAUUGCUACAAAAUUCAAAUGAGAAACGAUGAAAAUGAUGAACUCUUACAUACUGGAAGAGCAUUCCAACAAUAUAUUGUUGAUAUGUUCAUAAAACUUGAAACACAAAGAUUAGAUUUCUUUUUCUUCAAUCCAGAAUUAUUUCGAAUGGAAGUUUUACAAGGUCUUCUUGAUGUCUUAAGACAUGGUGAAAGAGAUGCUGCAAAAAUUGGAAAACAAACAUUCCUUCCUAUUACGUUUACAGGAGGACCAAGAGACAUGCGCCGACUAUAUCGUGAUGCUAUUGCUUUAGUCCAACGUUUUAGAAAACCUGAUUUAUUUUUAACAAUGACAUGUAACCCAACAUGGUUAGAGAUAAAAGAACAUUUGUUACCUACUGAUGAAACACAAAACAGACUUGAUUUAAUAAACAAAAUAUUUAGAGCAAAAGUUGAAGAACUAAAAUCUAAUAUACUAAAGAGAAAUGUAUUCGGAAAGGUUGUUGCUUUCAUUUACAGUAUAGAAUUUCAAAAAUGCGGCCUCCCACAUGCACAUUUUCUUAUAAUUCUUGCUAAUCAAUACAAAUUGUUGACACUUGAGUCCUAUGAUAAUUUAUUUGUGUUGAACUACCUGAUUCUAACAAAGAUGCUUACUUAUAUUCAGUUGUUGUACAUCAUAUGAUACGCGGUCCUUGUGGCCACUUAAAUCCUACAAAUCCAUGCAUGAAAAAUGGAUACUGUAAAUUUCACUACCCUAGAGAUUUUACUAAGCAAACAUCAAAAGGGAAACUCAUAUCCAACUUAUAAAAGAUGACAUACGGGACGUACUAUAAAAGUUAGACAACAAUCUCUCGAUAAUUCAUGGGUGGUACCUACAAUUCAUUUUUACUUGGUAAAUUUAAUUGUCAUAUGAAUGUUGAAAUAUGCUCUGACAUUAAAGUUGUGAAGUAUCUUUACAAAUAUAUUUGCAAAAGACAUGAUAAAAUUGCUUUUUAUAUGCAUAAACAUGACAAACAAACAGAAAUUGAUGAAAUAAAAUAGUAUCAAUCUGCUCGGUGGGUAUCUCCGCCUGAAGGUACGUGGAGUUUAUUUAGUUUUCCUAUAAGCGAAAUGACACCAAGUGUAUAUCAUCUUCAAUUACAUCUUGAGGGCCAACAAUAUGUUUCUUUUAAAAGUUCUCAAAGUAUAAAUUCAAUUAUAAGAAAUCCAAUGAUUAGAAAAACAAUGCUAACCGAAUUCUUUGUAAUGAACUAAACAAAUAAAGACGCUAAAGAACUUAAACUAUUAUACAAAGAAUUUCCUGAAUAUUUUGUAUGGUCAAACACAUAUAAAAUGUGGACACGUCAAAAACAAUGUUUAGUUAUCAGACGCAUUGUGACAUGUCAUCCAAUAGAAGGAGAAAGAUAUUAUCUAAGAUUAUUAUUAAUGAACGUGCAAGCGCCAAAGUCAUAUAAAGAUCUUCGUAAAGUCGACGAAAGAUAUUGUUCUACUUUUAAAGAAGCAGCAGAAAAAAGAGGAUUACUACACUCCGAUAACAAUUUGAUUGAUUGUAAGACUGAAGUUGUGGGUUACCAAUUACCAUAUAGUUUGAGAAGAUUAUUCGCUACAUUAUUAGUCUAUUGUAAUCCUACCAAUCCUAAAGAAUUAUGGGAACAAUUUGAAGAGUCUAUGUCUGAAGAUUUUAAAAACUUGAGAAACAUUGAACUUAAAGAUAUUCGCCGUCAAGUUUUGGAUCAUAUUAAUGAUGAAUUACACUCGAUGGGACAUGAUAUUAAUGAGUGCAAACUUGUUCUAGAAAAUAUUAAAGCUUCUACAAUUGCCAAAGAAGCAAAAGAAGUUCAGUUUCAGAGAAAUAUAAAAGUUUGCGAAGAGGAUUUAUUAUUAGAAAAAAAACUUAAUAUUAAACAAAUAAGAGUUUAUACCAUAAUAAUAGAUAGUGUUUUUUCAAAUAAACCAAGAGAUUUUUUAUUGAUGGACCUGGAGGAACUGGUAAGAGUUUCUUAUAUCGAAGUAUAUUAGCAACGAUAAGAUCAAAAGGAUUUGUUGCAUUAGCAACUGCAAGUUUUGGUGUCGUAGCCUCUAUUCUUCCUGGAGGACGAACUGCUCAUUCACGCUUUAAAAUAUCUAUUGAUGUUGAUGAAAAUAUUAAUUGCAAUGUCAGCGAACAAAGUUCACUUGCUUAUUUAAUUUGAGAUGCAAAAUUAAUUGUAUGGGAUGAAGCAUCAAUGGCUAAAGGAAAAACUAUUGAAGCUUUUCAUUUACUCUUAAAAGAUCUCAUGGAUAUGAGGAUACUCUUUGGCGGAAAAGUUGUUGUUUUUGGCGGUGAUUUUAGACAAACUCUUCCUAUUAUGCGAAACGGAAAAAAGGAAGACGUCAUUUCAUAAACUUCACUAUACUCACAAAUUUGAAACCAACUAGAAAAAUUGUACCUCUCCGAGAAUAUGUGUGCAAGAACAAAUCCAGAUUUUUCUGAGUAUCUAAUGAGGAUUGGCAACGGAAAAUAAAAACUUAACUCCAACGACAAAGUUGAAAUUCCCAAAUCUUUCUCAUUCCUUUUACUACCGAAGAACAAUCUCUAAAUGAAUUAUUCAAGGUAACAUAUCCUAAUAUAAAUUUGUUAUUUCAUGACUCUUUCGCUUUAGCGUCCCGUGUUAUUUUAACAACAAAAAAUAAUUACGUUCAUGAAAUAAAUGAUAUGCUUAUAUUAAAAUUUCCAAAUACUGCAAAAACAUUUGUUGCGAUUGAUGAAAUCAUUGAACCAAAUGAUCAAAGUCAAUUUGAAAAUUAUCUACAUACCAUAAAUCCCGCUAAUUUGCCACCUUACAAAUUAACUUUAAAAGAAAAUUGCCCAGUGAUAUUACUAUGAAACUUAAAUCCUUCUGAAGGUUUAUGUAAUGGUAUGCGAUUAACGUGUUGUAAUUUUAAAAUACAUGUUAUAAGUGCUAAAAUUGCUAGCGGUGAUUUUAAAAAAAAAACAUAUCUUUAUUCCUCGCAUACCACUAUCAGCUUCAGCAGAUGAGAAUCUGUCAGCUCCUUUCAAGAGAAUACAAUUUCCAAUACGAUUAUGUUUUGCUAUGACUAUAAAUAAAGCUUCACGGUCAAACUUUAGACUAUAUUGGAAUUUAUUUGCAUGAACCUAUUUUUUUCACGGUCGUCUUUAUGUGGCUUUGUCUAGAGCUAAAAGUUCAAAAGGAGUGAAAUUGUUGAUUAGGCCAUUGACAUCAGAUAGCAAAGAUGAUCACUCAAUGUACAAUGUUGUUUAUGAUGAAAUUAUCAAAAAGGCAUUUAGUUAACUAAUGACAUAAGAAUUUUUAUUUUUAAUAUAUUUGUCAUGAAAUAUACUAACUAAUGUCUACAAGUAUGUACUGCUUAUGUUGCCUCCACUUGUUAAUCUCUUCCUACUUCAUCGGCGAGCUUUCACAAAAGAAGUUGUUGCCCCUCAAGUUUGUUUGUUCUAUGUCAUGGCUGAGCUUUGAGGAAAUGUGGUAGUUUCAGUACUCUUUUGGGGAUUUGCUAAUCAGGUAAAACAGUGUCUUUGAAUACAUUCUGUGCAUUAAUAACCAUUUUAUGGAUACAUAGUCUUAUUGUAUAGAUAAAUUGUAUGUACCAUCUAUUUAGAGCAGGAGACAGUCUGAUAAUACAUGUGCUCCUAGACUCUCUCUUCCUGGUGUUGUUUUGUAGAGCGAGGAGGCAGCGUAGUAUAGCAUAAGGGUGGCAUUCUAAAUUGUUUCACCCACUUUAUCCCCUCAAGGCAUACAACAAAAGUUAGUAAUGUAAUUCCGACAUUUUUUUGCAUUCAAACACAUUUUAUAUUUGAGUGGAACAAUUUGGGUAACAGCUUUGUUCUUUAUUCACUUAGCACACAAUUACACAGCUAUCUUAUUCAAAUACCAAACUAUAUAUAUCAUGAUAGUUCCUCCUGCCCAAUUCCUCUAAGUGAGGAGACAAACCGAUUGCGUUGAACACUUUUAAUAUAUUCAUCAACAUAUCUACCUGUAUAAACAUUGCCCUUCACCUCAAGCGAGGGAAAUCACUAUUAUUGAACCUAGUAGUGAUUAUUUUGGAUAAUUUCUUUGCAAAUUAUAACUGUUGAUGAGGCUAAGAGAUUCUAUCCUUUGUUUGGACUUGCUGCAAAUGUUUUUCUUAUUUUCUCUGGUCAGACAGUGAAGUACUUUGCUAGCUUGAGAAGCUCUUUAGCUCCUGGAGUUUAUGCCUGGGCAAUAUCCCCGAAACAGAUGAUAAGAAUUGUAGUGUUAAUGGGUGGGGCAGUCUGUUUUUUUUUAACUAACUUGAAAUAAUGUUGGUCUUAAGUUUGAUCUGAAUUUGAGUUCCCUGUUGUGGUGCAGAUAAAAAGAGAUGGCAUUACAAAGCUUGUUGUACUACCUUUAUAUCCUCAAUAUUCCAUCUCUACAGCUAGAUCGACUGUCCGUGCCCUUCAAAAUGUUUCCAACAUUCUAAUCAAUGCAUCGGAGAGCAAACUGCAUGCACAAGGUUUGGAAUUUCAACAAAUUGCCCUUGGCCAAUGUUGAACAUGAAAGAUGGUUUUUUAGGUUCGUCUCUUCCUCCAUAAAUAGAAUAAUUGACAUCUGGAAGUUGUUUUGUAGCUCCUUUGUUUUCUUUUAUUAUACAAUGUUGGGACUUGGGGAGAUACAAGAAGGUAAUGUUUGGCGUGUAUCUAGGAAAUACGAAACUUGUUAUUCAAAAUUUCAGUUUUAUUUCCAGUUUCUUGAGCAUCAUUUCAUGUUAUAUUUGCACGGCCAAAGCAUUAAUGUCGAUCACCGCAUCAUUGAGUAUUUCUGGACUGGAAUGAUGACCACGACGAUGAUUUUUGCUCACGGUGAGGCACAUUAUGUGGCAAUUUCUACCUCUCUGUUGUUUCAUUGUGUGUUUUCAACUGGUGACUUGCUAGCUACAGUAUAAUAGUUUGUUAUUUUAGCUAAGAAAUGUGUCUUUUAGCUAAGCUUACUUUUUUUCUGUUGCUAUUACAGGCUCACUGAUGUUCUGCUUGAGUAAUUUUCUUGAUACCAAAAGACAACUCUACCCUUUAUGGUGCAAUUGCGAAUCUUGCUGAGCGUUACCGAAACCUAAGAUUCUUAAACCUUUGUGGGUGUAUAAAAGCUACAACUGAUAGGGCAUUGAAGUUAUAUGUCUUGACCUCUCAAAUGACCUAUAGGAGUGAGUACUAAACCGUUGCUUCAUCCGACUAAAAUGACUCUUAUUACUCCUUGCAGGCACACUGCAUGUAAAUCUAGGUUGGUGUGAUGAAAGGGUAAUGAGUUUGGCCUAUGGGUGUCCUGAUCUCAGAGCCCUUGAUCUCUGUGGCUGUCUCCUUGUAUUCGAGUGUUCUACAGGACAGAAAUCUUAUCAAAGAAAAAAAAUUUAUUCAUAUCCUAUUAAUAACUUACUUGGAAGCAUAUGUUGAUAUAAGAUAGAGAUAUUGAUGCAAGAUAUUUUCUUCUAGUAUACAUUAACAAGAGUGGAAACAUCAGUGAGCAGCAAAAACUACAGCGCAAGUGGGAAAAAAGACCAAGGACACGCUUUAGUGAUGUGAAGUCUGCACUUGAAUUUUAGUUGCUUUCUUUGAACUAUUUUGUAAGUGUAACUUCAUCUCAAAAUUUCACAUUGCCUCUAUCAAUACAAUUAGAGAUACAUUCAAGUUUCA